AACGAACGCUGGCGGCAGGCCUAACACAUGCAAGUCGAGCGAACCCUUCGGGGUUAGCGGCGGACGGGUGAGUAACGCGUGGGAACGUGCCCUUUGCUACGGAAUAGCCCCCGGGAAACUGGGAGUAAUACCGUAUGUGCCCUUGGGGGAAAGAUUUAUCGGCAAAGGAUCGGCCUGCGUUGGAUUAGGUAGUUGGUGGGGUAAUGGCCUACCAAGCCGACGAUCCAUAGCUGGUUUGAGAGGAUGAUCAGCCACACUGGGACUGAGACACGGCCCAGACUCCUACGGGAGGCAGCAGUGGGGAAUCUUAGACAAUGGGCGCAAGCCUGAUCUAGCCAUGCCGCGUGAUCGAUGAAGGCCUUAGGGUUGUAAAAGACUCUUUCAGUGGGGAAGAUAAUGACUGUACCCACAGAAGAAGCCCCGGGCUAAACUCCGUGCCAGGCAGCCGCGGU
rnacentral:rRNA from 1 species